GAUGAAAGUGAGAGGAGAAUGAAAGACAGAGAUGGGGAGAGAGAAUCAGACUUUAGACUUUAAUAUUUCAACAACUCUUGUCUUCCAACCUUUUAGGAAAUCCCAGCCACACAGGAGGGUGAUUUUCAUUGAAGAGAAGGAGGUCGUGCUGACCGAGAUGCAUGCUGGCCAUUUUGGAGUGAAGUGCAUGAUUGCCAAAAAAUCAACCUACACUUCUUCUGGCGUGGGAUUGUCAAGGAGGUCAGUACCUAUCUAGUCUGCCAGAAGUUUGAGAGGGUUAAGACUGUGGCUCAAGAGCGGAAGCCCAUCAAAGUUGUUUCACCAUGUGCCAUGAUCGGACAAUUGUUCAGAGGAUGGGGCUGGAGGGAAAAGCUCACAGGUGGUCAGGACUCAAAGAAGUGGGAGAAUUUAAAGAAGUACAUGGUAGGAAGCAUUGGAUGGGUCAUAGAAAUCUUAGUGCAAUUGUAAUGUCACUGUUGUUUCAUAAUCUCCUAAACUCAUUGCUUUUGCCCUCCAAUAUUGUUGGUUCAAUGAAUACAUUACUGAACCCAACUAAGAUUUCCAUAGUAGGUUACGGUAAAUGUAAUAUGUUAUGCAUGCCAACUGGAAAAAUGCUCAAACAAUAUAUUGACAUUUUCUUGAUAGGACUUGAAAAAUGUUCCUACCAGAACAGGGACAGAUCAGGGAGAGGCCACUGCUGAGAGCUGGUUCAAAGUAAUUGUCACGCCCUGGCCUUAGUUAUCUUUGUUUUCUUUAUUAUUUUGGUUAGGCCAGGGUGUGACAUGGGUGAUGUAUGGUUUUUGUCUCAUCUAGGGUGUUUGUACUGUCUAGGUUUUUUUUUUGUAGAUUUAUGGGGUUGUGUUCAUUCUAGGUGUUUAUGCAAGGCUAUGGUUGCCUAGAUUUGUUCUCAAUCAGAGGCAGGUGUUUAUCGUUGUCUCUGAUUGGGAACCAUAUUUAGGCAGCCAUGUUCUUUGGGAAUUUUGUGGGUGAU